GUGGUCGAUGGAGUGGAUAUGGCAGAGGAGGACUGCGUGGUGAAAGGCGGGCAUUGGGUAGGCCCAAUCGGGCUCGAGCCUGGCUGGGAUCGGGCUUGGGCCUAUUUUUUUCCAAAAUAAUUGGGCCUAAGCUCAGCCCAAAGUUUCAAAAAAUUUUUUGGGCUCGGGCAAGCGUAUGGCCUGGCCUAGUUCCAGCCCCACUAGCAUGUGUUUCUUCUUUUCAUUUUAAUAGGAGAACAAUAGUUACAUCUUAAAAUAAGGAG
rnacentral:lncRNA from 1 species